ACAACCAAUUUUUGGGGACUUCAUAAUCACAAAAGCGAUUCACUCAGGGUGAGGCUUAGCCAUUGCACUUGGGCUGUGCUGACCCCUGCAAGUUCUCUACAUUCGGGAAUCUCAACCGCAUAAUUUCAGGAGGUGGGGGGCUGCGUUUGGGCUCUCCCCUG